GACGAACGCUGGCGGCGUGCUUAACACAUGCAAGUCGAACGGAAAGGCCCUGCUUUUGUGGGGUGCUCGAGUGGCGAACGGGUGAGUAACACGUGAGUAACCUGCCCUUGACUUUGGGAUAACUUCAGGAAACUGGGGCUAAUACCGGAUAGGAGCUCCUGCUGCAUGGUGGGGGUUGGAACGUUUCGGCGGUUGGGGAUGGACUCGCGGCUUAUCAGCUUGUUGGUGGGGUAGUGGCUUACCAAGGCUUUGACGGGUAGCCGGCCUGGGAGGGUGACCGGCCACAUGGGGACUAAGAUACGGAGCAGACUCCAACGGGAGGCAGCAGUGGGGAAUAUUGCACAAUGGGCGGAAGCCUGAUGCAGCAACGCCGCGGUCGGGAUGACGGCCUUCGGGUUGUAAACCGCUUUCGCCUGUGACGAAGCGGGAGUGACGGUAAUGAGUAAAGAAGCACCGGCUAACUACGUG
rnacentral:rRNA from 1 species